CUAAACUUUUCUUUUUCAGUUUGUUUGUUGUAGGGGUCUCUGACCAUGCUUGUGAGGGCGUGGUCAGAGUGAAGUAGUGUGACUGCAUUUGCUCUUUCACUUUCACUUUGCUUCUUGCUGUACAGACUGCUACCAUGCCGGCUGGCUAGGUCACUCUAUGAUACAAGACUUCAAAACUGAGACAGGGACACGGUAUCUUAAACUAGAAGCAGUGUCAUCAGAAGCAGAUUGCUAUUUCCUGCACAGGAUUCAGCAUCAGUGACUGGAAGCUGCCCUGAAGCAAAAAAUCCCUGCCUUUGCUGUUUCCCACAGGCCCUGACUCUUACAGAUGUCAGGAGCAGUCUUCCUUGUCUGUGUAGAGUAAAGUCGGUUCUGAUCCUACCCAGAAUCUACUGAAUCCUGAAGUAUGGCCAGAGCCUGACUGCUAAGAAGCAUCACUUUUGUUGCUUUUGUUAGCACACCUUGCCUCUGAUUGAAGAACUGUGUGCAUUCAAAUGGAACAUGGAAUGGGAAUGAAUAUGUAAAGUGAUCUCAACUCCAGCACUGGAGGCAGAUACUGUGGUUCCCCAGGAGACUGCAUCAGAGCUUCUGAUUCCUUUGUCUCUCCCACCUUAAAGUGUGCUGCAGGAGAAGCAGUGAAAGUGAAAGUAGAUGAAAGAUAAAAAGUGAAAUAUACCAUGGUUUCUGACACCAAUUUUCAAAAGGAAAGAAAGAAACCUGUGGCAAGAAACAGUUGAUCAUAUAUCUGUCUGCUUCACCAAGCAUUUUUGAUAACUCUAUGAAAGCUACAUUUCUCCCUGGAGAUAGUGGAUUGUGUCUCAAGCUGGACAAUAGCUUCUUGUUUCUGACACUUUUUAAUAUGCCAUGUCAGAUUGCCCAAAUGCAAUUUAAAAUUCUUGAAUUUUAGUUUUCUCCUUUAUAUGUAUAUGUAUAUGUAUAUGUGUGCCUGAAAUAACAUGUUUCUAUUUAAGUUGAAAUAUUAGUUUUAAGAAGUACUUUGAAAUUCCUGUAUUUGAUUACUAUAUCUUAACAGUGGCAUGAUGAUGAAGAAAUAAUAUGAUAUAUAUAUAUAUAUAUAUAUAUAUUCUUAACAUAUAUAUAUAUAUAUAUAUAAUAUAAUAUAUAUAUAUUCUUAACAAUUCCCGGUUCAUUGUUUCCUUCAAUUGUGGUUGGUUCCACUCAUGUCUUCAUGUAUGGUAUCAAAGUACAAGUUCAUACUCAGGAAAUACUCUGUCCAGAGAUAAUAUGUGAAUAUUGAAAUUUUGACAGAAUCACUAUACUCCCUUGACAAUAAUUCCUCUAAUAAUUACCCCAUCCAAUGUUCAUAUCCUUAAAGCACCUGAGUGUCCUUGGAUUGGGGAUCUCCAAUAGUACUUGGGGAGACUCUAAGGGAUUGAAGGCCUGUGGAAAUCUGUCUUUCCUCUUCAAUCAUCUGAUUAAAUGAUAUAAGCCACACUGAUAGUAUUUUGAUUCAUGAUUCUUCCACCAGAUAUAUUUGAAUGUUUCCUGGAUAUAAUAGUGAAGGAUUAAUUCCAUGCAUGUGAAGCUGAUGUCAUUUCCAGUGUACAAUUGUAAACUAAAACCAAUCACACAUUUCUUGCAUGUAGAGGUAUAUUACCAAUGUCACAUUAAAAUACUAUUUCUCACAGGUAUUGAAUUUGCCAAUAAUACUAUGCAAUCUGGCCUGUAAAUCUCAGAUAUCUUUGUGAUAGUGCCUCUGAACAGCCAAUUUCUUCUUGCUGCCAACAAUUUAUGAUAUGACAUAUCAGAUUCUCUAAUUGCAAUGAUUAAAUGCUUGAUAAUAGGAUUUUUCAUACAUGUGUACUUUAAACAAUCACACUUAAUUUAUCUAUGAUUUUAUAUGUAGAUCCAUAGAUGUCUUCAUGCAAGCCAUUGUUUUUGUUUGAAGCAGGUUAUUCAGAACAGAUGUAUGGGUAACCCCACCAAAUCCUGCCUUCCCUUGAUUUUCAAUUUUUAUAUUUCCUGCAGGUCACACAGACACUCUUUGCAUUGUAAAGACAAUUUGAUCUUAUGAGGCAUUUUAACUUUAAAGACAUUCUGCUUCAAGAAAUAUCUCUCAAGGCAAUUAAAUCUCAAUGUUAAUCUAGAAAUACAGGGGUCAUCAGUUUUUUCUUCAGUCUCUGCUCAGAGCAGUCUACCAACUCCAGUGACCCAGUCAACACACAUAUAUUUCCUCAUACCUGUUUUUUUAUUCAGACGUCACUUUUCAAUAUCUAUAUUUCUGCUGCCUAUUAUUUCAACAGCUAAAGUACUCAGGGUAAAGUACUGAGCUAAAGUACUGAGAGUAUGCCUGUGGAAAAUCAGUCUGCUCUUAUUAAGGAAGAGGAAUACAGAGAUAGAAGGAAGCCUACUGAUACAUUCCUGUAUAACUAGACAUGUACAUCACUUGAUCCUCAUCUGAGAAGCUUCUACUUGCACUUCAUAAUGAAUAACACUGAGAGGCUCAGAUAUCCCUCAAUCUCCUGAAAAUGAAGACACAAUGUAAGGAAUAGAGCCCCUGGUCAAUUGAAACCUUAUCUUACUGCAAGCAAGUGUUUAACUUCAAACAAGCCUAAAUGUUCCCAGAGUUAAUUCUUUAUAGGAAACUGCAGAAUCACUCUCUCUUCCAGAUCCAGCAGAUGUCAGGAUGCUGCCACUAAGGGCCAACUUGCUUCAUUAAAUCUUCAGAAUGCUGCAACUAACUAGGAGAGGAAAUAGUAUUUUACUAGUAUCAGGACAGU
rnacentral:lncRNA from 1 species